rnacentral:rRNA from 1 species
UACGUAGGGUGCGAGCGUUGUCCGGAAUUAUUGGGCGUAAAGAGCUCGUAGGCGGUUUGUUGCGUCGGCCGUGAAAACUCAGGGCUUAACUCUGAGCCUGCGGUCGAUACGGGCAGUCUUGAGUUCGGUAGGGGAGACUGGAAUUCCUGGUGUAGCGGUGAAAUGCGCAGAUAUCAGGAGGAACACCGGUGGCGAAGGCGGGUCUCUGGGCCGAUACUGACGCUGAGGAGCGAAAGCGUGGGGAGCGAACAGG